UUGUGGUUAAAAAGCUCGUAGUUGGAUCUCGGCGGUCUGAGGGCGGUUCGCUUGAUUGAGUGCUACUGCUCUAUAGGCCGUGGUUUUGCCAGAGGUCUCGGGGUGCUCUUACCGAGUGUCCUGCGAUGCUGGCAGGUUUACUUUGAAAAAAUUAGGGUGCUCAAAGCAGGCUUUUACGCCUGAAUAUUCGUGCAUGGAAUAAUAGAAUAGGAAGUCGUUUCUAUUUUGUUGGUUUUCGGAAAUCGACUUAAUGAUUAAUAGGGACAGUCGGGGGCAUUUGUAUUCAAACGACAGAGGUGAAAUUCUUGGACCGUUUGAAGACAAACUACUGCGAAAGCAUUUGCCAAGAAUGUUUUCAUUAAUCAAGAACGAAAGUUAGAGGUUCGAAGGCGAUUAGAUACCGCCCUAGUUCUAACCAUAAACGAUGCCAGCUAGCGAUCUGCCGACGUUUUCUUUGUAGACUCGGCAGGAAGCUUCCGGGAAACCAAAGCAUUUGGGUUCCAGGGGAAGUAUGGUUGCAAAGCUGAAACUUAAAGGAAUUGACGGAAGGGCACCACCAGGAGUGGAGCCUGUGGCUUAAUUUGACUCAACACGGGAAAUCUCACCAGGCCCGGACACUGGAAGGAUUGACAGAUUGAUAGCUCUUUCUUGAUUCGGUGGGUGGUGGUGCAUGGGC
rnacentral:rRNA from 1 species